AGAGUUUGAUCAUGGCUCAGGAUGAACGCUGGCGGCGUGCUUAAUACAUGCAAGUCGAGCGGUAAGGCUCUCACAGUUUGCUGGUAUCCCUAAUAAAGGAUCGAGCAAAGUGUGAGAGUACACGAGCGGCGGACGGCUGAGUAACACGUAGGAACGUACCCCAAAGUGAGGAAUAAUUCGCCGAAAGGCGGACUAAUGCCGCAUAUGCUCUUAGGAGUAAAGCCUUAGGGCGCUUUGGGAACGGCCUGCGCAUGAUUAGCUAGUUGGUAGGGUAAUGGCUUACCAAGGCGACGAUCAUUAGCUGGUCUGAGAGGAUGACCAGCCAGACUGGGACUGAGACACGGCCCAGACUCCUACGGGAGGCAGCAGUAGGGAAUUUUCCACAAUGGGCGAAAGCCUGAUGGAGCAACGCCGCGUGCAGGAUGAAGGCCCUCGGGUCGUAAACUGCUUUUGUCUGUGAAGAUUAUGACGGUAACAGACGAAUAAGGAUCGGCUAACUCCGUGCCAGCAGCCGCGGUCAUACGGAGGAUCCAAGCGUUAUCCGGAAUUACUGGGCGUAAAGAGUUGCGUAGGCGGUUAAGUAAGUAAACAGUGAAAUCGUGUGGCUCAACCAUACACACAUUGUUUAAACUGCUUUGACUAGAUCAUGAGAGAGGUACCUGGAAUUGCUAGUGUAGGAGUGAAAUCCGUAGAUAUUAGC
rnacentral:rRNA from 1 species